rnacentral:lncRNA from 1 species
CUUCUUCCCCCGCUGGGAUCCACGCUCUGGGAUCUGGUGAGCCUGCCCGCCCCACUUUUUGUGCAUUUGGGUGAAGGGCAGUCCCAGGGCUGGAGGGGAUGGGGAGACUGCAAGGCUGCAAAGAGAGUUGGGGCUUGGGGGCUUGGCAGAGGGGAGUUGUUAACAUCCCCACCUCCUCCACGGUCUGAUCCUCUUUUCUAAACCGUCUGUGUUGGGGACGAUCAUUGUGGAGGGGAGUUCCAGAGGUUAACGAUGCGCUGCUAUGCGCUUUGGUCUCCGAUGCUCUGCCGAAGCCCCACGCGCACAUCGCCCAGGAAUUGCAGGAGGCUCAAGCAAUCAGGUCCCCUUCGUUUUAGGAGGGUCCCUGCCCUGUUAACGGAGAAAUCUGAGGGCUCCCUUGGACAAAAAAAACAAGGACACCAGCCAGGAAUACCAGAGCAAAACAGCAGCCAAUAGGCUUGGUCUUUAUUGAAGACUAUCGAGACAGGACUCCCACCUGCCACAAGGUGGAACAAGAUGGAAGCCCCGAACAAAAGAGAACCCAAACUUUUAUUAGCUGCUAAUCCCCAUGUUAUCUAAAGGUAAAGGGACCCCUGACCAUUAGGUCCAGUUGUGGCUGACUCUGGGGUUGCAGCGCUCAUCUCGCUUUAUUGGCCGAGGGAGCCGGUGUACAGCUUCCGGGUCAUGUGGCCAGCAAGACUAAGCCGCUUCUGGCGAACCAGAGCAGCGCACGGAAACGCCGUUUACCUUCCCGCCGGAGCGGUACCUAUUUAUCUACUUGCACUUUGACGUGCUUUCGAACUGCUAGGUUGGCAGGAGCAGGGACCGAGCAACGGACGCUCACCCCGUUGUCGGGAUUCAAACUGCCGACCUUCUGAUCGGCAAGUCCUAGGCUCUGUGGUUUAACCACAGCGCCACCCAUUUUCAUGUAGUUCUCCUUCAAAGAGUAGCAUGCUGUGAAAUUCAGAUCACUCUUCCACAGUUUUCCCCAGAGGUUCAGUUCCAUAUUAUGUCCUAUAUCUAUUGUCCAGUGUGUCACGGAGACUCAUCUUUUGUUUCCCAGAGCUGGAGGCUUCCUUGGGGCACAGAUCAAAGAUGGAAAAGCAGGAUUCUGCUGCGGCAGGAAGAGGCCUUGAUACUAUCAAGAUUGGAAGCACUGAGAACUUCUGGGAAAGAACCAUGCAGAAGAAGAUCCCGGGCGAAGGUGUUUUCCAUCCCAAAGUACAGCACCAACAGUUCAGAAACUUCAAGGACGUAUGCUACCAGGAGACCAAGGGACCUCGAGAGGUUUGCAGCCAACUCCGCCGUCUCUGCCAUGAGUGGCUCAAGCCAGAGCGACACACCAAGGCUCAGAUCCUGGAUUUAGUGAUCCUGGAGCAGUUCCUGGCUGUCCUCCCCCCGGAGAUGGAGAACUGGGUCAGGGAAUGUGGGGCGGAGACCAGUUCUCAGGCGGUGGCCCUGGCAGAAGGUUUCCUCCUGAGUCGGGCAGAGGAGAAGAAGCAGGAAGAGCAGCAGGUGAGAGACAGCUGAAUGAGGGUUGUUCCAAAGGGCCUAAAAAACAUGAGGGAGCUCAACUCAAAACUCGCUAUAAUUGGCCAACUUUUUCAGACAGCAAGAGCCUGUUGGAUCAGGCCAGUGGUUCAGCUGGUCCAGCAUCCUCUUCUCACAGUGACCAACCACAUGGCCAUCUGUCUUGGAUUCUUUAGAUGCAUUGCAGGGGGUUGGACUAGAUGACCCUUGUGGUCCCUUCCAGUUCUACCAUUCUGAUGCCUGUUGUUGCUGUUUAGUCGUUUAGUCGUGUCCGCCUCUUCGUGACCCCAUGGACCAGAGCACGCCAGGCACUCCUGUCUUCCGCUGCCUCCCACAGUUUGGUCAAACUCAUGUUGGUAGCUUUGAGAACACUGUCCCACCAUCUUGUCCUCUGUCGUCGCCUUCUCCUUGCGCCCUCCAUCUUUCCCAACAUCAGGGUCUUUUCCAGGGAGUCUUCUCUUCUCAUGAGGUGGCCAAAGUAUUGGAGCCUCAGCUUCACGAUCUGUCCUUCCAGUGAGCACUCAGGGCUGAUUUCCUUCAGAAUGGAGAGGUUUGAUCUUCUUGCAGUCCAUGGGACUCUCAAGAGUCUCCUCCAGCACCAGAAUUCAAAAGCAUCAAUUCUUCGGAGAUCAGCCUUCUAUAUGGUCCAGCUUUCACUUUCUGAUGCCUGUAGGAAGCCUCAAGUACCGCCUCUUUCCAUAUGAACCUACCCAGACCCUGAGAUCAUCUUCUGAGGCCCUCCUUCCUGUGCCACCUCCUCCAGAGGUCCAGAGGGUUGCAAUGCGAGAACAGGGCCUUCUCUGCAGUGGCUCCCCGUCUGUGGAAUGCUCUCCCCGGGGAAAUUCACCUGGCGCCUUCAUGGUUCAUCUUUAGGUGCCAGGCAAAAACAUUCCUUUUUAACCAGGCCUUUGGUUGAUCUGAUUUACAUCCUAUGCCCUUUUAAAAUGUUUUUUUGUGGGGCGGGGGGUAGGGAGGCUAUUGGGUUGUUAUUUUUAUUUUUAUUAUGUAUUUUGUGGUUUUGUAUCUUGAUUUUAUUUUGUGAGCUGCCCUGAGACUCCUGGGUAUAGAGAAAUAUAUGAAUUCAAUAAAUAAAUAAGCUUCCGGGUCAUAUGGCCAGCAUGACUAAGCCGCUUCUGGCGAAGCAGAGCAGCGCAUGGAAACACCGUUUACCUUCCCGCCGGAGUGGUACCUAUUUAUCUACUUGCACUUUGACAUGCUUUCGAACUGCUAGGUUGGCAGGAGCAGGGACCGAGCAACGGGAGCUCACCCCAUUGUGAGGAUUCGAACCACCGACCUUCUGAUUGGCAAGUCCUAGGCUCUGUGGUUUAACCUACAGCGCCAGCCGCCUCCCACAAUUUAUGGACCUAAUAGGUAUCUAAAACCAGUGAUAUUUUAGGGAGCAGGCUAGCAGGCGGGGCCCAUUACUUAUAUCAUAGGAGUCUACACAACACAAAACACCGUUGCUGUAUGUAGGUUUUAUUUUAUUUGUUUUUUUAUCUUAUAUUUUGCAAAUGUACGUCCAGGUUUUUUUCCUUUAAUUUUUUUAGGGGCCCCCAAGAGAGUGGGGCCCUAAGCUAUAGCUUGUUUAGCUUAAAUCCGGCACUGGUGAUGUUCCUUCCUGUCCUUAUAAAAUGUUAUGUCUAUCUUUUCCCAGCUGAUGCUUCCAUCAUGCCUUGGGCAGAACUAAUAUCCCAUUGUUGUUUCAGAAGUUCUCCAUUGCUCCAUAACGUGGUUCAUUGUUCUCCAGCUUUUACCAAAAAGCUUCCAAAGAUCUGCGUUCACAUUGUUUUACAACUUCAACUUGCUGUUUCAGACCAGGGGUCUGCUUGCAGAAUUGGCUGCUGAUUCCCUGGAGGCAGAGAGGACGCCAUCAACCACUGGAGAGUAUCCCAUGCGAAACAUGCCAGAGAGUGAUGGAGGUGCCACUUUGUUGGGUAAAUAUUAAUGUUACAUGAUCUUGAACUUGGGUCCCCCUCUGUCAUAGAGCGUGCCAGUCAGUAAAUCACCCACAGUUCAAAUAAAAAUAAUCACAAUAAUUCUGUUAUUUAUACCCCACCCAUCUGGGUAUAAAUCUGUUGUCCCAGCCUUCAAUAUUGAGUAUGUUUACAUUUUUAAAAGUCAUCCAAUCUUUGAGCCACACCAGAUGUGCUGCUUCGUAAUAUAAUUUAAGAUCUGGUAAUGCAAACCCACCUCUAUCUCUAAUUUCCUUUAAUAAUUUGUAUUUUAUUCUUGGCUUUUUACCCUGCUAAAUGAGCACCCCAAAUGAGCCACUCUGGGCGGCUUACAACAUAUCUAAAAACAUAAUAAAAACAUCAGUCCUUAAAAACUUCCCUAAACAGGGAAGUUGCGAGUUACCUGGAAAAACACAGUCUCCACAGACUUGGCUGAAUGUCAAGCUUAAUGAGCACAGCAGCUCAUUCCCUGUUGGGUCUUCUGGCAGUGUUAUGUACUGAAGUUUUCACCCUGGGCCAGCAGGGGGAUACUGUAGAUAGUUUUCACUCAGGUCCACAUAUGCAAAUAAGGGAUUUAAAGUGACGUUCAGUGAUUAGAUAGUUAGAGAAAGUUGUUACAGUUGCGUUGUAGUGGAGCUCUAUAUAAGCAGGCUGGCUGAACCCUUCAGUUCAGUUCAGUUCUGUUCUGUGAAUAAACAAGAGCCGUUUGAAGAAUCGCUGUGUCGUCUGAUAUGUUCACCCACAACUUAACAGGCAGGAAAUCAGCUGCUGAAACGGAAAGCCUCCCCUGCAACUGUCUUAAGUCCGCUCCUCUCCAGGACUUUCAAGCGAUCAGAGACUGCACCUUUGUUCAACCUAUUCUCCUGUUUCAGUCCUCUUCUGGUUCUGGGAGACGGAGGGUGAAUGGAGUUUGCCACAGCACAACGGGGGAGACACCCGUGCCUCUUCAUCAGCCUGACCCGUCUCUGCUUCUUGGCCUCCUCUCCUGCUUCACCUUCUGCCUCCGAUUCUGGACUGCUCUCUGCCACAGCCUCCUCCUGCUCACUAAACCCUGUUACCUCAUCAGCUUCCGAUCCCUUCUCUUUCCCAUCUUUUCCCUCUGACCACUCAUCACCGUCCCACCACCAUUCUCCAGGCUCUGAGUUUUCUUUCCUUAGGAGUUCCCCAGCUGCUUCCUUCCACCAUUCCCCUAUGUGCAACCAAUCCAUGACACCCUCCACUGUUUAUGUAAUAAUAAUAAUAAUCUUUUUAUACCCUGCCCUCCCCAGCCGAAGCCGGGCUCAUAGUGGCUAAGAACAAUAAAAGUAACACAGCAUUCAUAAAAUCAUUGUUUCCUGCUUGGCAGGGGGUUGGACUCGAUGGCCCUUGUGGUCUCUUCCAACUCUAUGAUUCUAUGAUUCUAAAAUCAAAUUAAAAUCAAAUUAAUGGCAACCAUUGGCCUAGAGUUCUAUGAGGAUUACCAAAGGAGGGGGUCAGACUGUGCCUUGGCCAAAGGCCUGGUGGAACAGCUCUGUCUUGCAGGCCCUGCGGAAAGAUGUCAAGUCCUGCAGGGCCCUAGUCUCUUGUGACAGAGCGUUCCACCAGAUUGGGGCCACAGCCGAGAAAGCCCUGGCUCUGGUCGAGGCCAGCCUAACCUCCCUGUGGACCGGGAUCUCCAAGAUGUUUUUAUUUGUGGACCUUAAGGUCCUCCGUGGGGCAUACCAGGAGAGACGGACCUGUAGGUAUGAGGGUCCUAGGCCGUAUAGGGCUUUAAAGGUCAAAACCAGCACCUUGAACCUGAUCCUGUACUCCACUGGGAGCCAGUGCAGCUGGUAUAGCACUGGAUGAAUGUGAUCUUUGGGAUGCCUUCGCUUUCUCCUGACUCUUGUCGUGGGCGAACAUUCUUGCCCCACAGCCCUUGUACACAGUUCGUCCAUAUUUAUUUCCAACGUUUGAACACGUUAAAGGCGACACUUAGAUUUGUUGCCCAGAGCCCAGGUGGAGAGCUGUGUUUUCAUCAAACUGGGAUAUAAAAAUAGAUUAAGAAGAGGUCGUCUGGGUCAUUCCUGGGGCCCAUCUAGACCACCAUCCUGUUCUCACAAAUCCUACAUCCUAUGCCCUUUUAAAAUGUGGAGGUUUUUUUUGGGGGGGGGUAUGUCAUGGAAUUCUACUCAAUAUUGAUCCAGAGCAGAUUCCAGCACAUAGUUAGCAGAGUAAAAACUUAAACAGGUUGCAAGAUUCCCCAAAAAUAGACCAGAGGCAAUGAAUAUUUCAUCCAGCAGAACUUUACUGCUACUGAAGGCAAAUGAGUAUGAUGGUCACAAAUCCAAUACGUUCAGGAUUGGUGCUGUCCAUAAGAAAUCCAGUUGCAGCAGAGUUCACUUAAACUUACAAUAACUUCUAGUCACACUAUACAGUGGUACCUUGGGUUAAGUACUUAAUUUGUUCCGGAGGUCCGUUCUUAACCUGAAACUGUUCUUAACCUGAAGCACCACUUUAGCUAAUGGGGCCUCCUGCUGUCGCCGCGCGAUUACUGUUCUCAUCCUGAAGCAAAGUUCUUAACCCGAGGUACUAUUUCUGGGUUAGCGGAGUCUAUAACCUGAAGCGUAUGUAACCUGAAGAGUAUGUAACCCGAGGUACCACUGUAUACAGAACACCACACCAGAAGGAAGAGAGACAGAAAGUGAGACCCAGACUCCUUCUGCCCUUAUUAUUAUAGUCAGCAUGACUUUGACAGAAGAGAUAACAGGACCAAGUUAAGCCAGCUGUACUCAGCUUCUCUGAAGGAAUAACCCAAACAUCAUGAACCUUCUGAUUGUUUCUUUCACACAGAGUAGCUUCCAGAACCCACUUGAACUAAUUAGAAUAGGAAAGAUCUCUACACGUCAGAACAAUACUUUCUGUACAGUCAUACUUCAUGUUACGGACGCUUCAGGUUACGCGUUUUUGGGUUGCAGACCAUGGGAAACCUGGAAGUACCAGAACGGGUUACUUCCGGGUUUCGCCGCUCGCGCCUGCACAGAAGCGCUAAAUUGCGCUUUGCGCAUGCGCAGAAGCACCAAAUCGUGCCUGUGCAGACACGGCGCUUCAGGAUGCAAACGCUGCAGGUUGUGGACGUGCCUCUGUCACAGAUUAUGUCUGCAACACGAGGUUCCACUGUACUAAGAAACGCAAACUGACAGGGGGCAGUUAUUGGGUUGUUGUUUUUAUUAUGUAUUUUGUGGUUUCAUGUUCUGUUUUUAUUCUGUGAACCGCCCUAAGAUCUGUGGGUAUGGGGCAGUAUAUUAUUAUUAUUAUUAUUAUUAAUAAUAAUAAUAAUAAUAAUAUGAGAAGACUGGGAGCAUGACCUGAACACAAGGAAGCUGUCUCCUCUUGUGGUUUUCCAGCAGUCGGUAUUCAGAAAUACACUGCCUUCAACUACAGAGCAUAGCUAGUGAGCAGAAUUCCUCUGCAGAAUGUCCUAAUCCUCCUUUAAGGCCAUCCAGAAAAAAAGGACUCGACAUUCAAAGUGCAUGCAGUGGAGGAGACCUGGGCUCUUGGCUUUCCCGCCACCUUUGUCUCUUUAGCAGGUGAUGGAAUGAGCUUGGCAAGACCCGUUCGGCCACCUCUUCUUUUGGACGGAGGGGAAGCAGCUGCUGUAACACUAGACCAGGUAAGGGGAAGGACCCCUGGGAAGAUGGGCAGGUGGCAGCGAUGGGGCCUCUUAUCUCCUGUGCGCCUCCUUCAGCUUCAACAAAUCCCUCUCCUUCUCUUUGCUUCUGUCUGAGCUACAUGCAAGGAAGGCCGUGUAUGCCAGGCAGAUUUGAAGCACCUUUCCUUUCCGAGUCUUCUGGAUUUUGCUUGUCGAUGACCUUCAUGUUAAACUUCCAUACUUCCUUCCUUCCUUUUAAAAAAAUAAAAUAAAAAUUAUUCAUUUUUAUUCAUUAUAACAUUAUAACUUUUGAAUUAUGGUGCUGGAGGAGACUCUUGAGAGUCCCAUGGACUGCAAGAAGAUCAAACCUAUCCAUUCUGAAGGAAAUCAGCCCUGAGUGCUUACUGGACAGAUCCUGAAGCUGAGGCUCCAGUACUUUGGCCACCUCAUGAGAAGAGAAGACUCCCUGGAAAAGACCCUGAUAUUGGGAAAGACUGAGGGCACAAGGAGAAGGGGACGAGAGAGGAUGAGAUGGUUGGACAGUGUUCUCAAAGCUACCAGCAUGCGUUUGACCAAACUGCGGGAGGCAGUGGAAGACAGGAGUGCCUGGCGUGCUCUGGUCCAGGGGGUCACAAAGAGUCGGACACGACUAAACGACUAAACAACAACAACAAACAUUUGUCAUCAUACACAAAUCAUAAUCAUUUUACAAAUAGGAUUCUCAGAAUCCUCGAACUUCCCUCCGUGGUUUCCCCAGAUAUUCUUUUCAAACUGCGUCUUAUCAUAUUCUCCAUAUUUUCUUAAAUCUCAAUAUUUAUCAUAAUUCUCACUUCAUUGCACUCCACUAUUUUCAAUUCUUUGUAGUAUUCUUUCAAGUAACUUAAAAAAUUUCCCCAUUCUUUAUUAAAUUUAUUGUCUUCCUGAUCUCCGAUUUUCCCGGUCAUUUUCGCCAAUUCAGCAUAGUCCAUCAUCUCUAUCAGCCAUUCUUCUUUUGUAGGUAAAUUGUCCUCCUUCCAUCUUUGGGCAAGUAGUAUCCGUGCAGCUGUUGUAGCAUACAUAAAUAGUCUCUUCUGAUCCUGAGGUAUUUCUGGACCUACAAUUCCUAGUAAGAAAGCUUCCUUCUUUCCUUCCCUCCUUCCUUCCGAGUCCAGUGUCCUGUUUUUUCUUUAAAUUUAUUUUGAUUACCGUAUUUUUCGUCCUAUAGGGCGCACUGGCCCAUAGGGCACACCUCGUUUUUUGGGGGGGGGGAUUAAUAAAUAAAAAAUUAUUUUUCCCCCCAGAACAGGCUGCUAUCCACAAGCCUUGCGAGCCCGCGGGAACUCCCGCCGGGCGCGCAAGGCUUGCGGACAUCUGCCCGAAGCACGGGGCAAGCUCCGGAGCGCGCCCCGUGCUUCGGGCUGCAGGCUGCUGUCCGCAAGCCUUGCGAGCACGGCGGGAACUCCCCCGGGCGCGCAAGGCUUGUGGACAGCUUCCUGAAGCCUGGAGAGCGAGAGGAGUCGGUGCGCACCGACGCCUCUCGCUCUCCAGGCUUCAGCAAAAGCCUGCAUUCGCCUCAUAGGACGCACACACAUUUCCCCUUCAUUUUUGGAGGGGAAAAAGUACAUCCUAUAGGGUGAAAAAUACGGUACGUUUUGAAUUUUUAAAGCAAAUUUUCUACACAGACAAUAAACCAUUAUCUUAUAGUUUUCUUUUUGACUUCCCACCCUUCCCUCCCUGACAUUUUUGUGCAUUAUAAUUAUUACCAAACCCCUUAACACCAUCUUACCGUUUUCUUCCUCUGCUGCUCAUAUCUCAAAUCCUGCUCACAAUUUCAUGUCGCUCUAAUACUUUGUCAGAUAGUCCAAGAGAGGCCUCAGAUUUUCCAUAAAAAGUUUGUCCUUUGGAUCUCCUAAUUUUACAGUCAAUUCCGCCAUUUCAGCAUAAUCUGUUAAUUUUAGAAGCCAUUAUUCUUUAGUUGGGAUCCCUCCUUCCAUUUCUGCAUGUAGAGAGUUGUUGGAUACAUAAAAAGAUGAAAGUCAGCUUCUUCGGAACCGCUGUCCCAGUUACCCCUCGCAGAAAGCCUUCGGGUUUUGGGGGGGAAUAACCAGUUUAAACAUCUUCUUUAGGAGAAGAUAUGGAAAGUUAAUUUAAAAUUUACAGGUUGCUGUACAUUAAAGAGAAUUACAUGAAGAUGAUGUAUAGAUGGUACUUAACAGCGUAUAAAAUUGCAAAAAUGUAUAGAAGUAAAUCAGGUAUUUGUUGGAAGUGUAAAAUGAUGGAUGGAACUUUUAUUCAUAUGUGGUGGGCCUGCAGAAAGGCUAAAAGGUUAUUGGGAAAUGAUUUAUAAUGAAUUUAAGGAUGUUUAAAGUGAUGAUUCCCAAGAAACCGGAGGCCUUUCUGUUAGUUAUAAUUAGACCAGAGCUUCCAGAGGAAUUGUCUAAUUUGUUUAUGCAUGCUAUGGCGGUGGCAAGAAUAGUCUGAGCGUGAAAAUGGAGAGGAAAUCCCGACGAAAGAAGAAUGACUUAUGAAGGUGAUUGAAUAUGCUGAAAUGGCUAGACUAACUGAGAAUUAAAGUACAGAAUGAAGAAAAAUUUCUUGAAGAAUUGAAAUAUUUUGUAGAAAAUUUGAAAAAAAAUAUCAUGGUGAUGUUAAAAUGUAUUGAGGAUUUGAAGUAUUGCAAUGAAUGAGAAGUGGUAAUUUAAUAAUCUAUAGUUAACAUAUAUACAGUGGUAUCUUGGUUCUCGAAUUUAAUCCCUUCCGGGAGUCUGUUUGACUCCUGAAACUGUUCAAAAACCAAGGCACGGCUUCCGAUUGGCUGCAGGAGUUUCCUGCACUCAAUUGGAAGCCGCAUAGAACGUUUGGCUUCUGAAAAACAUUCGCAAACCGAAACAUUCAUGUCCGGGUUUGCGGCGUUCAGGAGCAAAUUUGUUCAGGAGCCACACCAUUCGACUACCAAGGUACCACUGGAAUGGGUGAAAUAUAAGUAAUAAAGCAGCUUUAUAAGGCAAGAAAAGAACACCGUGGAAAGAUGGAUGGGAAGUCAACAGAUAAUGAGAUAUAUGUUUUGAUGGUUGUCUAAAAGAAUUUGUAAAAUUUGAAAAGCUAAUAAAAAAUGUUAAUUUGAAGAUCUAACAAAAAUGUCAAUAAUAGGCUAUAAACGAAUGAUAUGUUAAUAAUAAACAUCUUCUUUAAUUCGUUAUCAGUGCCCCGUGUCCUUUGAGGAUGUGGCUGUGUUCUUUGCAGAAGAGGAGUGGUCUCUGCUGGAUCCUGACCAGAGAGCUCUGCAUAGCGAAGUCAUGGAGGACAAUUGCCUGAUGGUCACCUCUCUUGGUAAGGCUCCAUUGUUUCCCUCGCUUCGAGGUGAAGAGCUGCCAUCCUCACAAUAUAGAUUUUAACCUCUGGGGAAAACUUUGAAAAAGCGAUUUGAAGUUUACAGUGUGUUAGUCUUUGAAGGAGAUCUACUUGAAAAUGAUUUACAGAUGGUAUUUUAACUCUGAGUAGGCUUACUAAGAUCGAUAAGUGCUGGAGAUGCAAAGAGGCGGAGGGAACGUUCAUAUGUGGUGGACUUGUGAAAGGGUAAAAGAAUAUUGGGAAAUGGUCCAUAAUGAAUUGAAACAAAUGUUUAAAAGUACUCCCCCCCCCAAAGAGUCCUUUUUGUUGGGGAUAAUUCAGACUGAAAUUCCCAGGUGUCCAAAAAGGUAGGCCACUAUGGCGGCCCGUGUUUUGUUAGCCCCAAAAUGGAAAACGAGCCAAGUCCCAACCAAAGAAGAAUGGCAACUUAAGCUGACAGAAUAUGCGCAGCUUGCAGACUUAACAUAUAGCAUAAGAGAACAAGAACUCGUUUGUUGUUGUUGUUGUUUAGUCGUUUAGUCGUGCCCGACUGUUCGUGACUCCAUGGACCAGAGCACGCCAGGCACUCCUGUCUUCCACUGCCUCCCGCAGUUUGGUCAGACUCAUGCUGCUAGCUUUGAGAACACCGUCCAACCAUCUCGUCCUCUGUCGUCCCCUUCUCCUUGUGCCCUCCAUCUUUCCCAGCAUCAGGGUCUUUUCCAGGGAGUCUUCUCUUCUCAUGAGGUGGCCAAAGUAUUGGAGCCUCAGCUUCAGGAUCUGUCCUUCCAGUGAGCACUCAGGGCUGAUUUCCCUCAGAAUGGAGAGGUUUGAUCUUCUUGCAGUCAAUGGGACUCUGAGGAGUCUCCUCCAGCACUAUAAUUCAAAAGCAUCAAUUGUUUGGCGAUCAGCCUUCUUAAUGGUCCAGCUCUCACUUCCAUACAUCACUACUGGGAAAACUAUAGCUUUAACUAAACAGACCUUUGUUGGCAAAGUAAUGUCUCUGCUUUUUAAGAUGCUGUCUAGGUUUGUCAUUGCUUUCCUCCCAAGAAGCAGGCGUCUUUUAAUCUCAUGACUGCUGUCACCAUCUGCAGUGAUCAUGGAGCCCAAGAAAGUAAAAUCUCUCACUGCCUCCAUUUCUUCCCCUUCUAUUUGCCAGGAGGUGAUGGGCCCAGUGGCCAUGAUCUUCGUUUUUUUGAUGUUGAGCUUCAGACCAUAUUUUGCGCUCGUUACAAAGACUAUAAACACACAGUAUAUACAGAAAUGAAAGCACACCCACCACAUGUGGUAGAACAUGCCUGCCUUCUCUUUACACUUCCAACAUACGUUUUGUGUACAAAGACACCCCCUUGGGCUCUCUUACUAGUUUCCUCUCUUCAUUCUGCAGCUCAUGGAAAGCACUUCCGCCAUCGUUUGGACCACAUGACCCACCAAACCAUCCACACGUCGGAGAAGCCCUAUCAGUGCUUCGUGUGCGGCAGGAAGUUCAUCCAAAAGGGAAGUCUCACUGAACAUCAGAGAAUCCACACAGGGGAGAAACCGUAUCAGUGCUCGGAGUGCGGAAAGAGCUUUGGCCAGAAGUCGCAGCUCACUUUUCACCAGAGAACUCAUUCGGGGAAGAAACCUUAUCAAUGCCCAAAGUGCGGAAAGAGCUUCGUUCACCAUUCGACCUUUUCUUGCCAUCAGAAAGUUCACUUUCGGGAGAAAUUGUAUAAAUCGGGGGUGGGCAACAUCAGGCCUCUCUACCCUGCGCUUGGCACCUGCCCCACACCAGGGCCCCCCUCCCCAGCCCCUGCCCCCCCAAUGACUCUUCUGUUUCUGCCUGCCUGGAAUGUGUCCUUCAACUCCAACAAUGCCCCUUGAAUGUCUGUAUCGAGGAUAGAGAAGGUGUUGAAACUGGCUGGCUGGCAUGUCUGGCAUGUCGGGCCAUGAGAAAGUUCAUUGCAGAGGACUCUCUUACGCAACUGGGCCCAGGAUAGAUCUCUUAAAUCAGCUCGUGGGAAGAAGGGAGCUUCAUUCCGCCUGAUUUAGGUGUGUGAGUGAUCUCUACAGGGAACUUUUCUGUGCUCCAGAGCCCAGCGCUAUGCAGGAUUGAUCAGUCCUGCUCCCCACCCACAUAGACCAGCUUGGGACUGGUGAAUAAUCACAGCAAAUGAUUGACAGGUGGGUGGGCUCGCCCACAAGUCAGAAGCUGGCUCAGGUCGGUGGGGUGAGGUGGGGAGAUAUCUGGUCCCCCAGGCAGAAAAAGGGUUCUCUACCCACUGGGGUGGGACGCGGGUGGCGCUGUGGGUUAAACCACAGAGCCUAGGACUUGCCGAUCAGAAGGUCGGCGGUUCGAAUCCCCAUGAGGGAGUGAGCUCCCGUUGCUCGCUGCUCCUGCCCACCUAGCAGUUCAAAAGCACUUCAAGUGCAAGUAGAUAAAUAGGUACCGCUCCGGCGGGAAGGUAAACGGCGUUUCUGUGCGCUACUCUGGUUCGCCAGAAGUGCUUAGUAAUGCUGGCCACAUGACCCGGAAGCUCCCUCGGCCAAUAAAACGAGAUGACCCUGCAACCCCAGAGUCGGCCACGACUGAACCUAAUGGUCAGUGGUCCCUUUACCUUUACCCACUGGGGUAAGUUACCGGUUUUCCUUUACCGAUUUACUAGAUACUGGCAUUUUGAGAAAGCAUAUGGCGGCCAUUCUGUGAUUGGCCACGCCCUGGAGAGCAGCCAUUUUAGAGUGGCACCCAUGUCACUUUCUCUACGUUCCAAAGGUUGCAAAGAAAGGUAUAAGAAGAAUGGAGAGCCUGCUGUAUCGUCAGGCUCAUCCUGGAUAGCUCAGUUGGUGCUGAUAACUCCAAGGUUGCAGGUUCGAGCCGUGAAUGGGGCAACUGCAUUUUCCUGCAUUGCAGGACUAGAUGAUCCUCAGGGUCCCUUCUUAUACUACAAUCCUAUGAUUUCUAUGAUUCCCUAAAAUGGCAUCUAUCCACAGCUGAUCUAUCAGGCUACAGUGGUGGGAGGCGACUACAGGGCUUCUCCAUUGGAGAGCAAUUUUGGGUUCCUCUGUUUGAGCUGGUCAUUACUAUUAUUCAGUGACUAAGAAACAGCUCCUGGGCUCCCUUCUCCUAUUUCCUUUCCAUCCUGUUUCCUUUUCUGUUGUGGCUCUUCGAUCGUAAGCAGAUGAUGCUCUUACGCUACUGAUAUUUGUAAGCUGGUGUUUUGAAAUGUUUCAGGGUUGCAUAUCAAAUAAAUGCUUCGUUUAUCUUUAUAAAUGGAUUGCAGAGAAGAAAAUGCAUAUUGCAAUUUUUUAAAAAGGAGGUGUCCUGGCUGUUGCAUGGAGACUUGAAAGGUGGG